AGCAGUCGCCGCGGUAAUACGAAGGGGGCUAGCGUUGCUCGGAAUUACUGGGCGUAAAGGGCGCGUAGGCGGCGCUCCAAGUUAGGCGUGAAAUUCCCGGGCUCAACCUGGGGACUGCGCUUAAGACUGGAGUGCUUGAGGAUGGAAGAGGGUUGUGGAAUUCCCAGUGUAGAGGUGAAAUUCGUAGAUAUUGGGAAGAACACCGGUGGCGAAGGCGGCAACCUGGUCCAUUACUGACGCUGAGGCGCGAUAGCGUGGGGAGCAAACAGGAUUAGAGACCCCAGUAGUCCCUGUCUCUUAUAC
rnacentral:rRNA from 1 species